AUUUUCACUGUGACGUGGAAAGUAUGAAAAACAAACUUUCAACAGAGAGCUUCGAUUGCUGAGAAGAAGCAAAGGGAAUUUUUCAGAAAAUGGCCACCGAGUGAUUUGCUCCGAGCGUUUUUGCGUAAGGCGGCAACGGGUGCACCCGAUAGCGUGCUAGAGUAUGGUAGUACUUGAAGAGGAGUUGCGUGUGAAUGCAGCUCAAACUGAGGUGGUAACACGCAAAAAAGCGUCCUCAAG
rnacentral:ncRNA from 1 species